UACAGAGGUCUCAAGCGUUGUUCGGAUUCAUUGGGCGUAAAGGGUGCGUAGGCGGCGCGGUAAGUCGGUGUGAAAUCUCGGAGCUUAACUCCGAAACUGCAUUCGAUACUGCCGUGCUUGAGGACUGGAGAGGAGACUGGAAUUUACGGUGUAGCGGUGAAAUGCGUAGAUAUCGUAAGGAAGACCAGUGGCGAAGGCGGGUCUCUGGACAGUUCCUGGACGCUGAGGCACGAAGGUCAGGGGAGCAAACGGG
rnacentral:rRNA from 1 species